rnacentral:rRNA from 1 species
UACGUAGGUGGCAAGCGUUGUCCGGAAUUACUGGGUGUAAAGGGAGCGCAGGCGGGAAGCCAAGUCAGCUGUGAAAACUACGGGCUUAACUCGUAGACUGCAGUUGAAACUGGUUUUCUUGAGUGAAGUAGAGGUUGGCGGAAUUCCGAGUGUAGCGGUGAAAUGCGUAGAUAUUCGGAGGAACACCGGUGGCGAAGGCGGCCAACUGGGCUUUAACUGACGCUGAGGCUCGAAGGUGUGGGGAGCAAACAGG